rnacentral:rRNA from 1 species
GAUGAACGCUAGCGGCAGGCUUAACACAUGCAAGUCGAGGGGUAGGUUACUUCGGUAAUUGAGACCGGCGCACGGGUGCGUAACGCGUAUACAAUCUACCUUUUACAGAGGGAUAGCCCAGAGAAAUUUGGAUUAAUACCUCAUAGUAUUUUGAAUCGCAUGAUUUGAUUAUUAAAGUUCCAACGGUAAAGAUGAGUAUGCGUCCCAUUAGCUAGAUGGUAAGGUAACGGCUUACCAUGGCUACGAUGGGUAGGGGUCCUGAGAGGGAGAUCCCCCACACUGGUACUGAGACACGGACCAGACUCCUACGGGAGGCAGCAGUGAGGAAUAUUGGACAAUGGGCGCAAGCCUGAUCCAGCCAUGCCGCGUGCAGGAAGAAGGUCCUAUGGAUUGUAAACUGCUUUUAUACAAGAAGAAACACUCCCUCGUGAGGGAACUUGACGGUACUGUAUGAAUAAGGACCGGCUAACUCCGUGCCAGCAGCCGCGGUAAAGUGACU